rnacentral:rRNA from 1 species
GUGGUAAUGCCGGAUGCUCCGGUUGGAUGCAUGUCCUUCCGGGAAAGAUUCUAUCGGUAUGGGAUGGGGUCGCGUCCUAUCAGCUUGAUGGCGGGGUAACGGCCCACCAUGGCUUCGACGGGUAGCCGGCCUGAGAGGGCGACCGGCCACAUUGGGACUGAGAUACGGCCCAGACUCCUACGGGAGGCAGCAGUGGGGAAUAUUGCACAAUGGGCGCAAGCCUGAUGCAGCGACGCCGCGUGCGGGAUGGAGGCCUUCGGGUUGUAAACCGCUUUUGAUCGGGAGCAAGCCCUUCGGGGUGAGUGUACCUUUCGAAUAAGCACCGGCUAACUACGUGCCAGCAGCCGCGGUAAUACGUAGGGUGCAAGCGUUAUCCGGAAUUAUUGGGCGUAAAGGGCUCGUAGGCGGUUCGUCGCGUCCGGUGUGAAAGCCCAUCGCUUAACGGUGGGUCUGCGCCGGGUACGGGCGGGCUGGAGUGCGGUAGGGGAGACUGGAAUUCCCGGUGUAACGGUGGAAUGUGUAGAUAU